UGAAUAUUAAUUUGGGGGAAGACUGGUGGAGUUCAGGCCUGAGGUGCUGAGAAACAGUGUCUGUGGGGACAGUGUUUGCAGGAAAAGAUGGAGGAGGACAGGAGAUGCUGUGUUUAUCUCAUAUGCAGCAGAAGUAGAAAAAGGAUUUAUCAUCCAUAUAAACUGUGACAUGGAGUGCAUGAAUUCAGAACAAAACAACUUUAUCUACCCCCGAAUACUAAAGAGUUCAAUUUCAUGCUGUUUUACAUGGCACAGCAGGAGUGGAUUGUUUAAUAUCUGUAAUUCUGAACUUCCACAACCUUUCUAUCAGAUAUUCAG
rnacentral:lncRNA from 1 species